rnacentral:rRNA from 1 species
GACGAACGCUGGCGGCGUGCCUAACACAUGCAAGUCGAACGGUGAAGGUUGGCACUUGUACCGACUGGGGGAGCAGCGAACGGGUGAGUAACGCGUGGGGAAUCUGCCUUUGAGCGGGGGACAACAAUAGGAAACGAAUGCUAAUACCGCAUAAAAACUUUAAACACAGGUUGUAAGUUUGAAAGAUGCAAUUGCAGCACUCAAAGAUGAUCCCGCGUUGUAUUUGAUAGUUUGUGAGGUAAAGGCUCACCAAGGCGAUGAUACAUAGCCGACCUGAGAGGGUGGACCGCCCCCAUGGGACUGGGACCCCGCCCCAACCCCUUCGGGGGGCCGCAGUAGGGGAUCUUCGGCCAAGGGGGGAAAUCUGACCGAACCACGCCGCGUGAGUGGAGAAAGUUUUCGGAUCGUUAAACUCUGUUUGUAGGGAAGAACGUUGGUGUGAUUGAAAAGCUCAUCAAGUGACGGUACCGUACCAGAAAGCGACGGCUAACUACGUG